ACCAUCUCUAGGGUGCUUUCGUGAUUGGAAGCAACUGGACAUUGUGGAUACUGGAGAAGCAGCAUUAGGUGAUGAGCUAGAUUGAGAUUGAGACUGCGGUGGCCAUGGAGUGUUCCAAGCUCCAGGAACCAUGUAGCCCCAAUAAGCAGCAGCAGCAGCAGCUGGAUAGAACGGAAUUGCUACACUUGAGGUGAAAUAGGCAGGUGAAGGUGCGCAGCUGAAUGGCCACAUGGUUCCCCCGUUCAUGCAUGGAUGCUGCGCAACAUUUGUGGAUUUAUCUGCUGUAACUUCCUCCCUUGAGUUCAUUUGGUUCUGCUCUUCUCCUUUUGCCCAUCCUUCAGCACAAGACCCUACUGAUGGGUCAUCGGUGUUCUUG
rnacentral:lncRNA from 1 species